rnacentral:rRNA from 1 species
ACAUCCAGAGAACUUGGCAGAGAUGCCUUGGUGCCUUCGGGAACUCUGAGACAGGUGCUGCAUGGCUGUCGUCAGCUCGUGUUGUGAAAUGUUGGGUUAAGUCCCGNAACGAGCGCAACCCCUAUCCUUUGUUGCCAGCGAUUCGGUCGGGAACUCAAAGGAGACUGCCGGUGAUAAACCGGAGGAAGGUGGGGAUGACGUCAAGUCAUCAUGGCCCUUACGAGUAGGGCUACACACGUGCUACAAUGGCGCAUACAAAGAGAAGCGACCUCGCGAGAGCAAGCGGACCUCAUAAAGUGCGUCGUAGUCCGGAUCGGAGUCUGCAACUCGACUCCGUGAAGUCGGAAUCGCUAGUAAUCGUAGAUCAGAAUGCUACGGUCGAAUACGUUCCCGGGCCUUGUACACACCGCCCGUCACACCAUGGGAGUGGGUCGCAAAAGAAGUAGAUAGCUUAACCUUCGGGAGGGCGUUUACCACUUUGUGAUUCAUGACUGGGGUGAAGUCGUAACAAGGUAAGCGUAGCGAG